rnacentral:sRNA from 2 species
AAUAUCAUUAAACCUAAGUUUUAAUAAAGCGCGGGGGAACCAAUAUAUUGGGGUGAAUCGUUUAUGUUCGUAGGCUAACCUUUGCCGAACCCGUCAGCUAACCCCGUCGGUAAAAGGAGAGGAUAU